AAGGGGAAAAGCGAAGGCCGCCCGCCUAUCGGCGAAACGCGCUGGAGGGCCUGCGAGGAGGCUGUUGCCGCCGCAGCAGGACCGAAGCGUCGCGAGCCGAUGGCGGCCGGAGCUGGACAAUUCGAAAAGCGGAGGCCGCAAUGGCCAACUGUCGAUACACAGCGCUUUCGUUUCGUUCGGUUUUGAGGGAAUGAGAAAUUCCUUCAAAAGCGCCUGUGCCUGCGUCUGCUAGCAGGUUCAGGGAAGCAAGAUUCCUCGGCACAAAGCCGCAAGGAAGUUUGUUCAAAGAAGUCGCUUUGCGUCUACAAGCGGAUUCGGAGAAGCCGAAUUCCUCGACGCAAGACUGCAGAGAAGUGAAUUCAAUGAAGUAGUCUCGUUUGCGUCUGCGUCUACAAGCGGAUUCGGAGAAGCCGAAUUCCUCGACGCAAACCAGCGAAGAAGCGAAUUCAAAGGAGCUACUUUGCGCCUUCGUCUUCCAGCAGGUUCAAGGAAGAUGGAUUCCUCGGCGCAAAGCUGCAAAGAAGCAGACUCAAGGCAGCAGCUUCGUUCCUUGAAAACUAGAUAACCGGAAAAGCGGAGGCGAGUGUUUCGCCGCGAUGGGCAAAUGUUCUUCGCCCACAGGGGUGCUGGCACCCCGAGGGGGAAGGUUAUUUGACCCCGAGCGGCGGCGAGCCGACGCUAGACAAUAAGGAAGAAGCUGAGAGCGCUGUA
rnacentral:misc_RNA from 1 species